ensembl:snoRNA
ACCCUCUAAAUUCCUUACCCAUCAGUUCUUAGCACUGGCCUGAGAGGUAAUAAAAGGAGGAAAAGUAAAAUUGAAACUGACUUAAAUUCUUUUGUGACAUGGAAAGUAGUUUCAAAAAGAA